rnacentral:rRNA from 1 species
UUAAGCGACUAAGCGUACACGGUGGAUGCCCUGGCAGUCAGAGGCGAUGAAGGACGUGCUAAUCUGCGAUAAGCGUCGGUAAGGUGAUAUGAACCGUUAUAACCGGCGAUUUCCGAAUGGGGAAACCCAGUGUGUUUCGACACACUAUCAUUAACUGAAUCCAUAGGUUAAUGAGGCGAACCGGGGGAACUGAAACAUCUAAGUACCCCGAGGAAAAGAAAUCAACCGAGAUUCCCCCAGUAGCGGCGAGCGAACGGGGAGCAGCCCAGAGCCUGAAUCAGUGUGUGUGUUAGUGGAAGCGUCUGGAAAGGCGCGCGAUACAGGGUGACAGCCCCGUACACAAAAAUGCACAUGCUGUGAGCUCGAUGAGUAGGGCGGGACACGUGGUAUCCUGUCUGAAUAUGGGGGGACCAUCCUCCAAGGCUAAAUACUCCUGACUGACCGAUAGUGAACCAGUACCGUGAGGGAAAGGCGAAAAGAACCCCGGCGAGGGGAGUGAAAAAGAACCUGAAACCGUGUACGUACAAGCAGUGGGAGCACGCUUAGGCGUGUGACUGCGUACCUUUUGUAUAAUGGGUCAGCGACUUAUAUUCUGUAGCAAGGUUAACCGAAUAGGGGAGCCGAAGGGAAACCGAGUCUUAACUGGGCGUUAAGUUGCAGGGUAUAGACCCGAAACCCGGUGAUCUAGCCAUGGGCAGGUUGAAGGUUGGGUAACACUAACUGGAGGACCGAACCGACUAAUGUUGAAAAAUUAGCGGAUGACUUGUGGCUGGGGGUGAAAGGCCAAUCAAACCGGGAGAUAGCUGGUUCUCCCCGAAAGCUAUUUAGGUAGCGCCUCGUGAAUUCAUCUCCGGGGGUAGAGCACUGUUUCGGCAAGGGGGUCAUCCCGACUUACCAACCCGAUGCAAACUGCGAAUACCGGAGAAUGUUAUCACGGGAGACACACGGCGGGUGCUAACGUCCGUCGUGAAGAGGGAAACAACCCAGACCGCCAGCUAAGGUCCCAAAGUCAUGGUUAAGUGGGAAACGAUGUGGGAAGGCCCAGACAGCCAGGAUGUUGGCUUAGAAGCAGCCAUCAUUUAAAGAAAGCGUAAUAGCUCACUGGUCGAGUCGGCCUGCGCGGAAGAUGUAACGGGGCUAAACCAUGCACCGAAGCUGCGGCAGCGACACUAUGUGUUGUUGGGUAGGGGAGCGUUCUGUAAGCCUGCGAAGGUGUGCUGUGAGGCAUGCUGGAGGUAUCAGAAGUGCGAAUGCUGACAUAAGUAACGAUAAAGCGGGUGAAAAGCCCGCUCGCCGGAAGACCAAGGGUUCCUGUCCAACGUUAAUCGGGGCAGGGUGAGUCGACCCCUAAGGCGAGGCCGAAAGGCGUAGUCGAUGGGAAACAGGUUAAUAUUCCUGUACUUGGUGUUACUGCGAAGGGGGGACGGAGAAGGCUAUGUUGGCCGGGCGACGGUUGUCCCGGUUUAAGCGUGUAGGCUGGUUUUCCAGGCAAAUCCGGAAAAUCAAGGCUGAGGCGUGAUGACGAGGCACUACGGUGCUGAAGCAACAAAUGCCCUGCUUCCAGGAAAAGCCUCUAAGCAUCAGGUAACAUCAAAUCGUACCCCAAACCGACACAGGUGGUCAGGUAGAGAAUACCAAGGCGCUUGAGAGAACUCGGGUGAAGGAACUAGGCAAAAUGGUGCCGUAACUUCGGGAGAAGGCACGCUGAUAUGUAGGUGAAGUCCCUCGCGGAUGGAGCUGAAAUCAGUCGAAGAUACCAGCUGGCUGCAACUGUUUAUUAAAAACACAGCACUGUGCAAACACGAAAGUGGACGUAUACGGUGUGACGCCUGCCCGGUGCCGGAAGGUUAAUUGAUGGGGUUAGCGCAAGCGAAGCUCUUGAUCGAAGCCCCGGUAAACGGCGGCCGUAACUAUAACGGUCCUAAGGUAGCGAAAUUCCUUGUCGGGUAAGUUCCGACCUGCACGAAUGGCGUAAUGAUGGCCAGGCUGUCUCCACCCGAGACUCAGUGAAAUUGAACUCGCUGUGAAGAUGCAGUGUACCCGCGGCAAGACGGAAAGACCCCGUGAACCUUUACUAUAGCUUGACACUGAACAUUGAGCCUUGAUGUGUAGGAUAGGUGGGAGGCUUAGAAGUGUGGACGCCAGUCUGCAUGGAGCCGACCUUGAAAUACCACCCUUUAAUGUUUGAUGUUCUAACGUUGACCCGUAAUCCGGGUUGCGGACAGUGUCUGGUGGGUAGUUUGACUGGGGCGGUCUCCUCCUAAAGAGUAACGGAGGAGCACGAAGGUUGGCUAAUCCUGGUCGGACAUCAGGAGGUUAGUGCAAUGGCAUAAGCCAGCUUGACUGCGAGCGUGACGGCGCGAGCAGGUGCGAAAGCAGGUCAUAGUGAUCCGGUGGUUCUGAAUGGAAGGGCCAUCGCUCAACGGAUAAAAGGUACUCCGGGGAUAACAGGCUGAUACCGCCCAAGAGUUCAUAUCGACGGCGGUGUUUGGCACCUCGAUGUCGGCUCAUCACAUCCUGGGGCUGAAGUAGGUCCCAAGGGUAUGGCUGUUCGCCAUUUAAAGUGGUACGCGAGCUGGGUUUAGAACGUCGUGAGACAGUUCGGUCCCUAUCUGCCGUGGGCGCUGGAGAACUGAGGGGGGCUGCUCCUAGUACGAGAGGACCGGAGUGGACGCAUCACUGGUGUUCGGGUUGUCAUGCCAAUGGCACUGCCCGGUAGCUAAAUGCGGAAGAGAUAAGUGCUGAAAGCAUCUAAGCACGAAACUUGCCCCGAGAUGAGUUCUCCCUGACCCUUUAAGGGUCCUGAAGGAACGUUGAAGACGACGACGUUGAUAGGCCGGGUGUGUAAGCGCAGCGAUGCGUUGAGCUAACCGGUACUAAUGAACCGUGAGGCUUAACCU